AUGUCUGGGGUGAACCUCAGCACAAUUGUUCACUGGCUUCCAUCGGUGAACAUGCUUCCAACUCUGAAAGUUCUUCGUGUUACUAAUUGCCUGCUUAAAAGUAGCCCUGAUUCUCUUCUGCUCUCAAAUCUGACAUCUCUAGAAACUCUCGACCUUUCGGAAAACCACCUCCAUAAGCAUAGCAGGCCCAACUGGUUCUGGGAUUUAACUAGCCUCACGUAUCUAGGUAUCUCGGGCAAUGGUUUCUAUGGCCCAUUUCCAGAUGGGAUAGGUAAUAUGACCUCCAUUGUGGAGCUUGAUUUAUCAGAUAAUAACCUUGUGGGCAUGAUACCAUCCAACAUGAAGAACCUAUGUAAGUUGGAGAGGUUGGUAUCUUUCAGUAACAAUAUCAAUGGGAGUAAGGCAGAGUUAUUCCAUCGAUUACCCAGCGGUUCACGGAAUAAACUACAAUGGUUGUCUCUACAGUACAACAAUCUGACUGGAAGCCUGCCAACUGCACCAGUAGAAUCCUUGAGCAACCUUAGCUGGCUGUAUCUCGCUCAUAACAGCCUAACUGGUCAUGUCCCAGUGUGGAUAGGAGAGCUCAAACAGCUAAUAAUUCUGGACCUUCGUUCUAACAACCUGAAUGGGGUCAUACAUGAAGGUCAUUUAUCACGUCUAGGUAGGUUGGAGGAAUUGAGAUUAUCAGACAACUCCAUAGCCAUCACAGUGAGCCCAGCUUGGGUUCCUCCUUUCAGUCUAAAAUGGAUUCAUCUUCGGUCCUGUCAGCUAGGGCCUAAAUUCCCAAUGUGGCUUAGAUGGCAAACACAGGUAUGGAGUCUUGAUAUAUCAAACACAAGCAUAAAUGACAUGGUACCAGGUUGGUUUUGGAUAGCAGCUUCCUCAGCAGAGUUUCUGAACAUUCGAAAUAAUCAGAUUACAGGAGUGCUCCCAUCAACAAUGGAAUUUAUGAGAGCAACAAAUAUGGAUUGCAGUUCUAACCAGCUUACUGGUCCAAUACCCAAACUUCCCAUCACUCUGACCGACCUGGAUCUCAGUCGGAACAACCUAGUUGGGCCACUACCAUUAGACUUUGGAGCUCCAGGGCUUGAAACACUUGUUCUAUAUAACAACAUGAUCUCUGGGGCCAUUCCAUCUUCUUUGUGCAGAUUGCGAUCAUUGUGGUUGUUAGAUCUAUCAAGUAAUAACCUCAAUGGAUCAAUUACCGAUUGCCUAGUCAACAAGUCUAGCACAAACAUGACAGAUCUGACUCUAAGCAUCGUUAACCUAAGCUUGAGAAACAACAACCUCUGGUGA
rnacentral:rRNA from 1 species